rnacentral:lncRNA from 1 species
AUAAAAUGCCUUGAUAUUCUUUGUUUUAUGUUUUGAAGGCACCUUUAGAUGAAAGAUGCAAAAAGGAGUAAAUUGGAGAUAAUUGGCAGAUUUGAUGUUCAGUCGAUGUUUUGUGCAGAGCGUGAGUUCUAAAAAUCGAAAGGAAGUGAUUCCAGUGGCAUUAGAAAGAUAACAUCCAUACCUUUCUGGAAAUCUAAGUGAAGAAAAAUAAAAUGACAAAGAGUAUGGAAAUCACAUCCUUCAAAGUCAAAACUCGCAUUCUGCCAGUGUUGACCUUUGUCCAUUCAAAAUUCAAUAUCUGGAGAUGUUGAUAUCCAAUUGAUGCAAACUCAAUUGUUUUGGAUUCCUGACUCAAAGUUGUAUAAACGCUCCAAAUUUCAGCCAAAAACGAUGUCAUAUGAGGGUGAUAUGAUUUUUCAAAGAUGACAGCUGAAUUCUGCCAGCAAACAGGUUUCGUGAAGAAACGAAUCCAAAUUACAUCCUGAAGCAUUAAAACCGACAUCCAAGUUUUAAUUUCAGCAAUUUAGCUCCUCAAGAACAUCAAUCCAGAAGGUCAAGGAAGGCAGCCACCAACCUCAAGCCACCAACCUCAAACCACCAGCCAGCCGCCAGCCGCCUUCACACUACCACCAUCUCUUGAUGUUCACACUUGAACUUUGAUUUUUCUUACUUGCAAUUUGUGUAUAAAUAGGCAGCUAAGUUCAUGAUAUUAGGAGAGCCAAGGGAGAGGGAGAGAGAGUGCAGUAGAAUUAAAGAAAGAAGGGUGGCAGCCAUAAGAGAAGAAACACAAACUCUCCCCUCUACAAAUCAGAAAUCAUGUAUUCUUUCAUCUUUAGGAGUAGUUGUUCAAUAGAUAUGCAAGGCUAAGCUCGUUUUCUUGGUUGCAAGGACGCAAACACCAUCAGAUUUCAAGAACUGUGAGAUUUAUUAUUCCAUUUAUUUUCAGUUUGUAUUAUGAAUGAGUAUGUUUGUUUUCCUAUGCAUAUUUCCUAUGAUUGUUUAUCUUAAUUGCUAAGAGCGGACUCUAAGUUAUUAUUGUGAACAAUCUAUUGCUAAGUUUGAUAUCAAAACCGGAGUUGUGGUAUAUAAACUUGUGAAGCAACUAAGCUUGGUAAUUGUAGCGGAACUACGUUAUUAAACUUAGGGAGAACAUUCGAUCAAAGCAACACAAGCUGACAACUUGGUUGUUAAGAUUAAUGAAUUUAUCUAGAUCUUAAGGCUGCCAUUGGAUUAAAUCAUUAGUGCGGACACUGUGAUUAUUUGUUGGUUAGGGUUAGUUAUACGGCGGAUCCGUUAAUUAACCAAUGUUAAGAAAAGAUAAAAAUUCAGAAUAUAAGCUGAAGUUUCGUUUCAAGGAUCGGUUCUGAUUUCUGUAGGUGGAUGUGUGCUUGCAACCAAGGUUUGUUUUCUUGAUAUAUUUCAGUUUUAAUUGAUUUUGUUUGCUAUUGUAAUUUCUACCAUAGUUUAGAUCAUUGCAAAUCAAACCCCCCCAAUUACAUAACAUAUAGCAUAAAAAUCUGAACUAAACCUUCCUCGUGGGAUCGACCCCUUGCUUGCUCUAUACUAUCUUGUGUGUUUUAAGCUAGGGUAAUUAAUUUGUGCGACCGCGACAUCGCAACAAAUUUUGGCGCCGUUGCCGGGGAAGUAAUUUUAGUUACUAUUAUUUUUAUUUGCUGUGAUUGUUAUUUAUUUUUUCUAAAAAAAAAAAAAAAAAAAAAGAGAUAGAAUUUUUGCUUGCGGCGGUAUUGUUCACUUGCGGCAGCGGUACUGUUCAAAACAGAGUUUUUGGUGGAAUUAGGUAUCGUUCUUUGGUUUCCUGAAGGGAAACGACGUUCUGAACAAGACUAGUGGUAAACCACUAGCCUCACCUUAUCGAGGCCAAAUUCCACUUUUUUCUAGGGUUUUUAGGCAGUUUUAGUUUUCUACCGUAGGAUUUUCGUACAAUUUGCAUUGUUUUCAAUCUCUUGUGUGAUUGGUUUAUUUUGAGUUUUCUUGAAGAUUUAUGCCUGUAACCCGUUCUACUAAUCAAAUUCAAGUGCAGUUGGAUCUCGAAAUAGAAAACACUUUACGCAGGUUACGAAAGGAAGCUCGCCUCAACACCAUGGCUGUUGCACGACAACAAACACUCAAGGAGCUUGCUGCUCCUAACGUGGAAAAUCAGCCACUGUGCAUAAACGUCGACAAUAAUGUAAACUUUGAGCUCAAAUCUGGUUUUAUACAUUUGCUACCAACAUUCAAUGGUCUUGCAGGAGAAGAUCCUCAUACUCAUCUCAAGGAGUUCCAUAUGGUUUGCAUUGGCAUGAAACCGAAUGGAGUUGACGAAGAACAGGUUAAGUUGAAAGCUUUCCCUUUCUCUUUAAAAGGGGCAGCAAAAACAUGGCUUUUCUCUAUUCUCCCAGGUUCCAUUGGAACUUGGAAUGCCAUGAAGAAGAUUUUCCUUGAGAAGUACUUCCCAGCAUCUCGAGUUGCCAACAUAAGGAAAGAAAUAUGUGGGAUUCGGCAAUCUCAUGGAGAGACACUCUCCGAAUAUUGGGAAAGAUUUGAGCAACUCUGCAUUCAAUGUCCUCAUCAUCAAAUACCCGAUCAGCUGCUCAUUCAAUAUUUCUAUGAAGGAUUGAUGCCUACUGACCGUAGUAUCAUUGAUGCUGCAAGUGGAGGUGCAUUGGUGGAUAAGACACCCGAGGCUGCACGCCAAUUGAUCUCAAACAUGGCAGCCAACUCGAAACAAUUUGGCACUCGUGGAGAUUUCUCAAACAAACAAGUAAAUGAGGUAAGUGUUUCUAACCUUGAAAAUAAAGUUAAUGAACUUACUUCUCUUGUGCGUUCUUUGGCUUGUGGAAAUGUGCAGCAGGUGAAAGUUUGUAGCAUAUGCUCCUUACAAGGACAUGCCUCAGAUAUGUGCCCAACAAUGCAAGAAGAUUACAUUGAACAUGCUAAUACAGGUGAUGGAGCAUUCAAUGGACAUCCCCAACGUAAAUAUGAUCCCUUUUCGAACACGUACAAUCCUGGAUGGAGAGAUCAUCCCAACUUACGCUAUGGGAACCCACCUCAACAAAGCAAUCAAGGACGACAGUUCCAUCCCCAUGGAUUUCAAUCCCAACAGAAUUAUCAAGCAAGACAACCCCCUCCUCCAUUCACAAACUCCAAUGUUAUGGGGUCGUCAUCCAAUGAUGAUCUUCGUGAGAUGAUGAAAACUUUGGCUUCUAACACUGUGACCUUACAACAAAAUGUCAUGUCUUUUCAACAGGAAACAAGGUCAAGUAUUCACAACUUGGAAAAGCAAAUGGGGCAAGUAGCUUCAAGUGUAGGGAAAUUAGAGGCACAAAUGAAUGGAAAAUUGCCCUCCCAAGCUUUGAAUCCAAAAGAGAAUGUUAGUGCAAUAAUGUUGCGAAGUGGGAAAGAACUUGAAAGACAAAGGUCAAAACAAAUUGAGAUGGAGGAAGAAGAAGAGAUAGAAACCGAAUUGAGUACAAAGAAGAAACAUCCUCCUCCUCCCUAAACUGAAAUAACUACCAACACUCCAAAGGUAACUCCUCACUUAAUUAAUUCUAGUUUUAAAACAAUUCCACCCUUUCCUGUGAGUUCUUCUAGGUCAAAGAAAGAGGACAAAGAAAAAGAGAUUUUAGAGGUUUUCAAGAAAGUAGAACUCAACAUUCCUUUACUUGAUGCUAUCAAGCAAAUUCCCAAAUAUGCGAAAUUCUUGAAGGAGUUGUGUACUACCAAGAGAGCUUUCAAACUCAAAGGUCAUGAAACGGUAAGUAUGGGUGAAGUUGUAUCUGCCGUUGUUCAAAAGAAUCUGCCUUUGAAACAAAAAGACCCAGGUGCGUUUACUAUCCCAUGUGUUAUUGGUAAUGCUAGUUUUAAAAGAGCUUUAUGCGAUUUAGGUGCAUCCAUUAGUGUUAUGCCUAAACAUGUUUAUGAUUCUCUUAGUCUAGAGCCUUUGAAUGAAACUAGCAUUGUCAUACAACUUGCGGAUCGUAGUUUUGUUUACCCACUUGGUGUGAUAGAAGAUGUCCUAGUCAAGAUUGAUAGUUUGGUUAUUCCAUGUGAUUUUUAUAUUCUUGAUAUGGAACAUGAUUCUUGUGAUUCAUCAACCAGCACUCCUAUAUUGUUUGGGAGACCAUUCUUGAAAACCGCCAACGCAAAGAUUGAUUGUGGUAAGGAUACCUUGUCUAUGGAGGUAGGAGAUGAAAAAAUUGAAUUUAAUUUUCAUGAUGCAAUGACAUAUCCUUAUAGCAAUGUUUAUUCUAUCACAUGUUAUGACCAAGUUGAUAAGUGUGUGCAACAAUUUUGUGAUUUUGAUAGUAAGGAUGGAUUAAGCGUAGCUUUGAGCUAUGGCUAUAAUUUUACCGAGAUAAAAGAGAAGGAGAGGCACAUAUGUGUUCCCCAAAGCAUGUACCAAUCAGCAUUGGCUUUGCAAGCUUUUCAAAUUGUCCCCCAUGAUGCAAAAGUCAUUCUCUCCAUCACGGACAGUGAAUGGGUGGCGUCUAUCCUUUUGGUACCCAAAAAGACUGGAACCACGUUUAAAGAGAUACAGAAUGAUGCUUAUGAGAAUGCAAGGAUUUACAAAGAAAAGACUAAUAGUCUUCAUGACCGAAUGAUUACAAGAAAAGAGUUUCAUGUUGAAGACAAAGUCCUUCUUUAUCAUUCAUGUUUGAAACUUUUUCCUAGAAAGUUACGCUCUUGUUGGAUUGGACCAUUUGUUGUUUCUAAUAUUUUUCCUUAUGAUGCAGUUGAAAUUACAAGUUUAGAAACCAACAAAGUACUCAAGGUCAAUGAGCAUCGCUUGAAACCUUUCUAUGAAAGUUGGACGGCAGAACUCACCGCUUCUGUGGAGUUAGCUGAACCAAUCUAUGAAGAAUAAGCAUGCAACAUGUCGAGCCAAUGACAUAAAACAAAAGCGCUUACUGGGAGGCAACCCAAAAAAAAAAAAUCAGAUUUGCUUUCUUUUUUCCCUUAUCUUUUAUUUUUCGCAUUUUACUCAUUCUCUUAUAUUCCUUUUCUUUUAUUUCAACAUUGAGGACAAUGUUGUGUUUUAAGUGUGGGGGUAUUAAGAGAACUUUGGUUUUCUUUGUUAUUUUUUUAAAAAAAUUAUGUUUGAUCUUUAGAACUCCUAUUGAUUUUUGAGAAUAUGAGUAUUAUGUAUGAGAAUUAGUUGAGAUAGAUGAAGAUAUAAAUCAAAUGAAUGAGUGUGUAUGCAAAUUUUAAACAUUUAAUUGCUUUAAGGAUUGACUUUGAGAAUAUGCCAUGUUGACUUUAUAGUGUUAUACCAAUGCAAGCUUUUGAGCCUUCAACAUUAUUAUUUUUUUAUUGUGCAUUCUUUCAAUGAUAUGUAUCUCUAGAACUUGCUUCAUAUCUUGUUGAGAUUACAUUCGCAUUACAUAUAUACAUGAAGAUGAUAAAGGCAUUAGAAAUUUUAACCACUUGAGCCAAAAAGCCAACCUAAAGCAAAUUGUCCUUAGUAAGCCUCUUUUGAGCUUGUUUAUCUUUUCUUUGCUUUAUCCAUGUAUAAGCCUUAACUUUUUAUAUGUUUUCCUUUUCCCCUGGCCAAGGAUUAGUAGAGCAUAUACUUGUGAUAUCUCAUGGAAUUAUGGUUGGAAAUAAUGUGAAAAGAAAGAAGAAGUGAUGCUUGAUGAAAAGAUGGGCAAAGUUGCCAAAGGUGAAAAACCAAAAAAAAAACAAAAAACAAAAAAAAGAAGAAAAAGAAAAAAAAGUAUUCCUUUAUGUUCUUAAGGUUUUAUGUUGAAAGAGCUUGAAAUCAAAAGAAGUUAAGCAUUGGUGCUUAAAGAUGGAAAAUUUAUGUGUUUUGAUGGAAUAUCUUGUUUGAAAUAUUAUUUUUCAGAAUGCUCUACUUUCUUUGGUUUGAACCUUUCCUUUUACUUUCUUUUACCUCACCUUACCCCUAGCCCCAUUACAACCGGAAAAUAAGACCUUUUGAUUCAUGCAUUGCUUGUAAUAUGUUAGUAAUGGAGAUAAGAUUGAAGAGCAAGCUUAUGGUAGAUUAUAUUCAUUGAUUGAAUUUGAGAGAUUUAAACACAUAAGCCCUAAACACGUGAGUGUUGGAGUGUAUAUCAAUGAGAGGACCUAUCACUUUGGCAUGGCAUAGAUUUCAUUUAAAUCCUGAUGAUUAAUUGAGCUUUGAAGUUUGCAUGUAAAUGAAUUCAUGAAAAUUUAUACUCUUUAUCCUUCUUGAUUGUAUUCUUGUUUAUAAUGCAUAUAUUCUUGGACAUUGAUGGGAGAUUAAGAGAUUGAUCAUAGUUAUUUUCAAUUUGAUUUUAUCUAUCCUUUCUCGAGGACGAGCAAGAGCUAAGUGUGGGGGUAUUUAUUGGGAGAAUUUUUGUUUUCUUAUUUUCAUUUUCUUUGUUAUCUUAAAAAAAAAAUUAUGUUUGAUCUUUAGAACUCCUAUUGAUUUUUGAGAAUACGAGUAUUAUGUAUGAGAAUUAGUUGAGAUAGAUGAAGAUAUAAAUCAAAUGAAUGAGUGUGCAUGCCAAUUUUAAGAUUUAAUUGUUUUAGGGAUUGACUUUGAGAAUAUGCCAUGUUGACUUUAUAGUGUUAUACCAAUGCAAGCUUUUGAGCCUUCAACAUUAUUAUUUUUUUAUUGUGCAUUCUUUCAAUGAUAUGUAUCUCUAGAACUUGCUUCAUAUCUUGUUGAGAUUACAUUCGCAUUACAUAUAUACAUGAAGAUGAUAAAGGCAUUAGAAAUUUUAACCACUUGAGCCAAAAAGCCAACCUAAAGCAAAUUGUCCUUAGUAAGCCUCUUUUGAGCUUGUUUAUCUUUUCUUUGCUUUAUCCAUGUAUAAGCCUUAACUUUUUAUAUGUUUUCCUUUUCCCCUGGCCAAGGAUUAGUAGAGCAUAUACUUGUGAUAUCUCAUGGAAUUAUGGUUGGAAAUAAUGUGAAAAGAAAGAAGAAGUGAUGCUUGAUGAAAAGAUGGGCAAAGUUGCCAAAGGUGAAAAACCAAAAAAAAAACAAAAAACAAAAAAAAGAAGAAAAAGAAAAAAAAGUAUUCCUUUAUGUUCUUAAGGUUUUAUGUUGAAAGAGCUUGAAAUCAAAAGAAGUUAAGCAUUGGUGCUUAAAGAUGGAAAAUUUAUGUGUUUUGAUGGAAUAUCUUGUUUGAAAUAUUAUUUUUCAGAAUGCUCUACUUUCUUUGGUUUGAACCUUUCCUUUUACUUUCUUUUACCUCACCUUACCCCUAGCCCCAUUACAACCGGAAAAUAAGACCUUUUGAUUCAUGCAUUGCUUGUAAUAUGUUAGUAAUGGAGAUAAGAUUGAAGAGCAAGCUUAUGGUAGAUUAUAUUCAUUGAUUGAAUUUGAGAGAUUUAAACACAUAAGCCCUAAACACGUGAGUGUUGGAGUGUAUAUCAAUGAGAGGACCUAUCACUUUGGCAUGGCAUAGAUUUCAUUUAAAUCCUGAUGAUUAAUUGAGCUUUGAAGUUUGCAUGUAAAUGAAUUCAUGAAAAUUUAUACUCUUUAUCCUUCUUGAUUGUAUUCUUGUUUAUAAUGCAUAUAUUCUUGGACAUUGAUGGGAGAUUAAGAGAUUGAUCAUAGUUAUUUUCAAUUUGAUUUUAUCUAUCCUUUCUCGAGGACGAGCAAGAGCUAAGUGUGGGGGUAUUUGAUGUAACCAUAUUAUUCGAUAGUUUCACCCACAUUUAACUAGUGUUUUGCCUAUGUUUUAUGUAUAAAAUGCCUUGAUAUUCUUUGUUUUAUGUUUUGAAGGUACCUUUAGAUGAAAGAUGCAAAAAGGAGUAAAUUGGAGGCAAUUGGCAGAUUUGACCCUCAGUCGAUGUUUUGUGCAGAGCGUGAGUUCUAAAAGUCGAAACGAAGUGAUUCCAGUGGCAUUAGAAAGCUUACAUCCAUACCUUUCUGGAAAUCUAAGUCAAGAAAAAUAAAAAUACAAAGAUCAUGGAAAUCACAUCCUUCAAAGUCAAAACUCGCAUUCUGCCAGUGUUGACCUUUGUCCAUUCAAAAUUCAAUAUCUGGAGCUGUAGAUCUCCAAUUGAUGCAAACUCAAUUGUUUUGGAUUCCUGACUCAAAUUCCUACAAACGCUCCAAAUUUCAGCCAAAACCGAUGUCAUAUGAGGGAGAUAUGAGUUUGCAAAGAUGACAACUGAAUUCUGCCAGCAAACAGGUUUCGUGAAGAAACGAAUCCAAAUUACAUCCCGAAGCAUCAAAACCGGCAUCCAAGUUUUAAUUUCAGCAAUUUAGCUCCUCAAGUAAAUUAAUCCAGAAGGUCAAGGAAGGCAGCCACCAACCUCAAGCCACCAACCUCAAGCCACCAACCACAAACCAGCUGCCAGCCACCAGCCGCCAGCCGCCAGCCGCCUUCACACUACUACCAUCUCUUGAUGUUCACACUUGAACUUUGAAUUUUCUUACUUACAAUUUGUGUAUAAAUAGGCAGCUAAGUUCAUGAUAUUAAGAGAGCCAAGAGAGAGGGAGAGGGAGUGCAGUAGAAUCAAAGAAAGAAGGGUGG